AAGACUAUAGACCUGCGGAGUACCUGCGGAAGGAUCAUUACUGAGUUUCACAACUCUCUAACCCUGUGUGAACUGAAGUCUGGUUGCUCAGGCAGGCGGCCCCCGGGGGGAGCCGCAGCUUCUCUGAAGCGCCUGCCGGAGGAUACCUAAACUCGUUUUAACAUAUAAUCUUCUGAGUAAUAAAAAAAAAUGAAUCAAAACUUUUAACAACGGAUCUCU
rnacentral:misc_RNA from 1 species